rnacentral:tRNA from 1 species
CCGAUGUAGCUCAGGGGUAGAGCAAUUCACUCGUAAUGAAUAGGUCGUGAGUUCGAAUCUCACCAUCGG